UACGGAGGGUGCAAGCAUUAAUCGGAUUUAUUGGGCGUAAAGGGCGCGUAGGCGGGUUUGUAAGUCAGAUGUGAAAUCCCGGGGCUCAACCUCGGAACAGCAUUUGAAACUACAUACCUUGAGGAUAGGCGGAGAAAACGGAAUUCCACAAGUAGCGGUGAAAUGCGUAGAUAUGUGGAAGAACACCGGUGGCGAAGGCGGUUUUCUAGCUUAGACCUGACGCUGAGGCGCGAAAGCAAGGGGAUCAAACAGGAUUAGAAACCCUAGUAGU
rnacentral:rRNA from 1 species